rnacentral:rRNA from 1 species
UGGGGAAUUUUGCACAAUGGGGGAAACCCUGAUGCAGCGACGCCGCGUGAUUUAGAAGGCCUUCGGGUUGUAAAAAUCUUUUGUAUAGGAAGAAAAUGACAGUACUAUACGAAUAAGGUCCGGCUAAUUACGUGCCAGCAGCCGCGGUAAUACGUAAGGACCGAGCGUUGUCCGGAAUCAUUGGGCGUAAAGGGUACGUAGGCGGCUAGAAAAGUUAGAAGUCAAAGGCUAUAGCUCAACUAUAGUAAGCUUCUAAAACUAUUUAGCUUGAGAGAUGGAAGGGAAAGUGGAAUUCCUAGUGUAGCGGUGGAAUGCGCAGAUAUUAGGAGGAAUACCGGUGGCGAAGGCGACUUUCUGGCCAUUUUCUGACGCUGAGGUACGAAAGCGUGGGGAGCAAACA